rnacentral:rRNA from 1 species
UACGAAGGGGGCUAGCGUUGCUCGGAAUCACUGGGCGUAAAGGGUGCGUAGGCGGGUCUUUAAGUCAGGGGGGCAAUCCUGGAGCUCAACUCCAGAACUGCCUUUGAUACUGAAGAUCUUGAGUUCGGGAGAGGUGAGUGGAACUGCGAGUGUAGAGGUGAAAUUCGUAGAUAUUCGCAAGAACACCAGUGGCGAAGGCGGCUCACUGGCCCGAUACUGACGCUGAGGCACGAAAGCGUGGGGAGCAAACAGG